UUUAAUGGCCGCAGUAAUUUGACUGUGCAAAGGUAGCAUAAUCAUUAGUUUUUUAAUUAAAAGCUUGAAUGAAUGGUUGGACGAAAUAAGGUCUGUCUCUUAAUAAUAUUUAGAAUUUAAUUUUUAAGUUAAAAAGCUUAAAUUUUUAUAAAAGACGAGAAGACCCCAUAGAUUUUUAUAAUUUUUUUUAUAUUUUUAAUUAAGAAUAUUUUAUUAAUUAUAAAUUAAGUUAUUAUAUUGGGGUAAUAGGAAGAUUAGUUAAAUUCUUUUUAUAAAUAUUUUCAAUGAUUUUUGUUUUUGUGAUCCUUUUUUAUAGAUUAAAAGAUUAAGUUACCUUGGGGAUAACAGCGUAAUUUUUUUAGAGAGUUCUUAUCGAAAAAAAAGUUUGCGACCUCGAUGUUGGAUUAAAAGUUUUUCUGGGUGUAGAAGUUCGGAGGUUUGGUCUGUUCGACCAUUAAAUUUUUACAUGAUCUGAGUUCAGACCGGCGUAAGCCAGGUUGGUUUCUAUCUUUAUUUAGAUAAUUUAUUUUAGUACGAAAGGACCAAAUAAUUUAUAUAUUAAUAUAUAUUUGUUGAAUAAAAUUGUUAUUUUGGCAGAUUAGUGUGAUGAAUUUAGAAUUCAUUUAUGUAAGUUUUUACAAAUAAUAUUGUUUUUUUAUGAUUUAUUGUUAGUUUUUAUUGGGGUUUUACUUUUAGUAGUUUGUGUUUUAUUGGGUGUUGCUUUUUUGACUUUA
rnacentral:rRNA from 1 species